rnacentral:rRNA from 1 species
UAGGGAAUCUUCGGCAAUGGACGAAAGUCUGACCGAGCAACGCCGCGUGAGUGAAGAAGGUUUUCGGAUCGUAAAACUCUGUUGUUAGAGAAGAACAAGGACGUUAGUAACUGAACGUCCCCUGACGGUAUCUAACCAGAAAGCCACGGCUAACUACGUGCCAGCAGCCGCGGUAAUACGUAGGUGGCAAGCGUUGUCCGGAUUUAUUGGGCGUAAAGCGAGCGCAGGCGGUUUCUUAAGUCUGAUGUGAAAGCCCCCGGCUCAACCGGGGAGGGUCAUUGGAAACUGGGAGACUUGAGUGCAGAAGUGGAGAGUGGAAUUCCAUGUGUAGCGGUGAAAUGCGUAGAUAUAUGGAGGAAAACCAGUGGCGAAGGCGGCUCUCUGGUCUGUAACUGACGCUGAGGCUCGAAAGCGUGGGGAGCAAACAGG